UACGAAGGGGGCUAGCGUUGCUCGGAAUCACUGGGCGUAAAGGGAGCGUAGGCGGACAGUUAAGUCAGUGGUGAAAGCCCAGAGCUCAACUCUGGAAUUGCCUUUGAUACUGAUUGUCUUGAGUAUGGGAGAGGUAUGCGGAACUCCGAGUGUAGAGGUGAAAUUCGUAGAUAUUCGGAAGAACACCAGUGGCGAAGGCGGCAUACUGGCCCAUUACUGACGCUGAGGCUCAAAAGCGUGGGGAGCAAACAGG
rnacentral:rRNA from 1 species